rnacentral:tRNA from 2 species
GCCCGCUUGGCUUAGUGGUAAAGCGUAUCACUAGUAGUGUUCUGGAGCCAUCUAGACUUGCGGUGAUGAUAAGAUCGUCAGUUCGAUUCUGACAGUGGGCA